rnacentral:rRNA from 1 species
UACGUAGGGGGCAAGCGUUGUCCGGAAUCAUUGGGCGUAAAGAGCGUGUAGGCGGCUCGAUCAGUCUGCUGUGAAAGCCCAGGGCUCAACCCUGGGAUGCCGGUAGAUACUGUCGAGCUAGAGUCCGGAAGAGGCGAGUGGAAUUCCUGGUGUAGCGGUGAAAUGCGCAGAUAUCAGGAGGAACACCGGUGGCGAAGGCGGGUCUCUGGGCCGAUACUGACGCUGAGGAGCGAAAGCGUGGGGAGCGAACAGG